rnacentral:ncRNA from 1 species
GCGUAGGAUGUUAGAAUUUCUUAUUACUUCGUUCAUCUUUCAGCAACGUCCGGACAGGAGGUCCGGACGAGCCCGCCAUAAGGCAUGGAUGCCGCAUCAGGGCGGUUGCGUCACUAUGUUCUCUUCUUCCUCGAAGUAAUUAGAAAUACUUACAUCCGUAGC